CCCCUUACCCAGAUCUCUGACUCUUUUUUACUAGUUUUUGAUUCGAUAAAACUUUUAGGUUUUUGUUCGCUUUCUAACCAUUCCUUUGGAUAAAUAGAAGUGCGGUGGAGACUCGAUUUGUAUGAUUUACCUUGGAUUUAGUCAAUAUCUCUAAUGGUAACGAAUACCCCGCUACACUUAGUGCCCAACAUCAAUAUCCCGAUGAAGUUCAAAGUGUCCGACUUUGAAAAGUAUAAG
rnacentral:lncRNA from 1 species